rnacentral:rRNA from 2 species
UGGGGAAUAUUGGGCAAUGGGCGAAAGCCUGACCCAGCAACGCCGCGUGAUUGAAGAAGGCCUUCGGGUUGUAAAGAUCUGUCCUAUGGGACGAAAAAAAUGACGGUACCAUAGGAGGAAGCCCCGGCUAACUACGUGCCAGCAGCCGCGGUAAUACGUAGGGGGCGAGCGUUGUCCGGAAUUACUGGGCGUAAAGGGUGCGCAGGCGGUUUUUUAAGUCAGAUGUGAAAUACCCAGGCUUAACUUGGGGGGUGCAUCUGAUACUGGAGGACUUGAGUGCAGGAGAGGAAAGUGGAAUUCCUAGUGUAGCGGUGAAAUGCGUAGAUAUUAGGAGGAACACCAGUGGCGAAGGCGACUUUCUGGACUGUAACUGACGCUGAGGCACGAAAGCGUGGGGAGCAAACAGG